GAGGGUUUUAAGUAGUGCCCUGGUCUAAAGUAGUGCCCUGCAUAGGGAAUAGGGUGCCAUAGAGCCCUGGUCUAAAGUAGUGCCCUGCAUAGGGAAUAGGGUGUCAUAGAGCCCUGGUCUAAAGUAGUGCCCUGAUUAGGGUGCCAUAGAGCCCUGGUCUAAAGUAGUGCCCUGCAUAGGGAAUAGGGUGUCAUAGAGCCCUGGUCUAAAGUAGUGCCCUGCAUAGGGAAUAGGGUGUCAUAGAGCCCUGGUCUAAAGUAGUGCCCUGAUUAGGGUGUCAUAGAGCCCUGGUCUAAAGUAGUGCCCUGCAUAGGGAAUAGGGUGUCAUAGAGCCCUGGUCUAAAGUAGAGCACUGGUCUAAAGUAGUGCCCUGCAUAGGGAAUAGGGGUGCCUUUGGGCCUUAGCCAUAGUUGGAUGAUGCGUGGGGAGGGCUGAGGUUAAGUUAAACAAAACAAAACUGUUUCCUUUCAGUAAAAGACGAAUAGUUUGUAGACUGCUGAGGUAUUUCCAUGUUUAGUGCUACAGUUAUAAUAAUUAGAUAAAUCUAAAGAUGAUAUGUUCUUCUGUAGAGCUGGCUUGAACACAUCUCCUCUCCGUUUUUGUUUCUACGGCGAUUGAUUGACCUCCAAACCCAAAGAUCCCACCCAUGUCACAUCGUGUGAGUGAUUCGAUUGGCUCCUCUCUAAA
ensembl:lncRNA